AUUCCCCACUGCCCAUUGAGACAGUCUGUGUCCUUACUCCUCAGACACCAAAGCAUACAGCACUCUGCUUAAAGACAAGGCAUUUGGAACUGUAGAUAUUGGAUUGGUCCCACUUUUUAUAGCCCAAAACCAUCUGGUUCGCCAUUUUCCACGCGCAGUUCAAGCCCUUCUGGAUGACCCUUCUAGGUGCCUAAAUUGAAACAUGUUUCAGAGAUGUUCACCCUUUUCCAUUGACUUUUCAAAGCAAUGAGAGUAUGGAAGGGACUGCAGAGAUUUUGGAGUGGGAUGUUUUCCAUCUUCCCUUGUUGCCAACUGAGAGGACAAAAUACAAAAGACAGGUAGGCCUACACCAAAUUUAAAUUAGGUCAAUUUUGGUCUGUCAAAACAUCAACAAACUUUCCAUCUAAAACUGAAAGUAAUUUAUAUUUAGGUUAUUAUAUCAAUGAUGAUGACGUUGAAGCCAUAAACUUACAUUGCGGAUGCACGGACAACACUCUAGUCUAGUGUCUAGUCUGCCUGAAGAGGGAUUGAUCAGCAUCCCAAAUGUCCAUUCGGGCACGCUGAUUGGUUGAAAGGAACAGCCUUUUUUUGAUGACUACGAUGAUGAAGAAGAAGAUGGUGGUGGUGGUGAUAUAGAGAGCAAUAGUGAUUACGUUUUUUUUGUAGGCACUAACUCUGCCAUGGUUCAUUGAACAAAGCCUAUGUGAAAAUGAAUGGAGUUUUUGUAGGGUUUUCGGAUAAACACGAAAAUAAGGUCUGUGGUAAACACAGGCUUAGGAGAUAUUAUACAUUUUUGUUCUAUGAGAUAAUCUUCAUCAGCUAACAUCACUUUUUGUUCAUUUUUAAGCAUUUAUGUAACUUUAAAAAACUUAACGCACUUAAAGACUUUGUAAUUCAUAAAGUUCAUGUUAACUGACUGACACCUCAUAGAACAAAACCUAUAAGAUCUCAUAAAACUGUUUUAACCUCAGACCUUAUUUUCGCCGUUUAUUCCAAAACUCUAUUCUUUCCCCAUUCAUUUUGCCCUUAGUAAUGGCUGAAUGAACCAGAGGUAAAUUAUUUCCGGUUUUUAGGACUACAAACGGUCGUACUCUGUAUGAUUAGGGUUUAAGAAUGUAAUGGUGAUGUCGUGAUGAUGAUAAAGCCUAUGAAUUGCACUAUCAAAAUAUACUGUAUAUAUUAUUCUUUUGACCCCCUUCAGUUACGUGGUGGGCUAUUCCUCUGAAGUCACUCAUGUCAGGCUUCUCUCGGAUGCACAACUGUGUCGCGCGACUUUCAGCGUUGCGGUCUCAUUCGACACUGGAGACUUUGGCGCCAUCCCUGCGGUCACCACGUCUGCCGUGAGUGCAUGGAUCGGAUCACAGAUGAUGGUUUCCCGCGACAUCGAGGGGUUUAGCUCAAAUCCCUGUCCACGGUGUAAAUCAGUUAUAGCCUACUAAAUCUGUAACCGUGACUGUAUAUUAGUGCCUUUUCCUGAGUUUUUGUAAACUUUUCUUUUUCUAUGCACUUUGUAGUCCCAGCAUGCCCCUAUUACCCAGUCAAUUCAACAGAGCUACGGUAUCAUCAAGACAAAGGACAAGCAAAACUAUUUCACCAUUUAUCUCGUGAAUCAGAUCAGAUUUUCAUUGUCAUCUUUGAGAUUUUAUGCAUUAAUGAGUGUGUGUAGUUGGCCUAGGCCACAGUCAAUGACAUUAAUAUAACAAUCUAAAUGUAGCUGACGCUAAACUCCAUCAAAUACAAAUUACAUUUAAAGAAUAUUAACAACUCGGGCUCAUAGACAGGGUUGGGGAGAAACUGAUUGCAUGUAAUCAUGUUAUCUGAUUACAAAAAAAGUAGUUCCAGCUAAAAUUAUAUAAUCAUAUUACAGAUACAUUUGAAAAACUAGAUGAUUACUCCUUGGAUUACUUGCCUGCGAAAAAAAAAUGUGACCCUUUUACUGUUCUCAAUGACAUUCAAUUCAGCCUUGAAAAAAGGCGCAAAUUUAGCUUGUUCCACCUGAGCGAGUCUGACCAUGAAUCAGAGACCACAAUGAUGACACA